UACGUAGGGGGCAAGCGUUGUCCGGAUUUAUUGGGCGUAAAGAGCGUGUAGGCGGUUUUGCAAGUCCGUUGUGAAAACUCGAGGCUCAACCUCGAGACGCCGGUGGAAACUGCAAAGCUAGAGUCCGGAAGAGGAGAGUGGAAUUCCUGGUGUAGCGGUGAAAUGCGCAGAUAUCAGGAAGAACACCCGUGGCGAAGGCGGCUCUCUGGGACGGUACUGACGCUGAGACGCGAAAGCGUGGGGAGCGAACAGG
rnacentral:rRNA from 1 species